rnacentral:rRNA from 1 species
UACGGGGGGAGCAAGCGUUGUUCGGAUUUACUGGGCGUAAAGGGCGCGUAGGCGGCCAGCACAAGUCAGUUGUGAAAUCUCCGGGCUUAACUCGGAAAGGUCAACUGAUACUGUGCGGCUAGAGUGCAGAAGGGGCAACUGGAAUUCUCGGUGUAGCGGUGAAAUGCGUAGAUAUCGAGAGGAACACCUGCGGCGAAGGCGGGUCUCGGGACAGUUCCUGACGCUGAGGCACGAAGGCCAGGGGAGCAAACGGG